GCAGUGGUGGUUUAGUGGUAGAAUUCUCACCUUUUGUGUGGGACACCUGGGUUCAAUUCCCCGCCAGUGCA
rnacentral:tRNA from 1 species